rnacentral:rRNA from 1 species
GAUGAACGCUGGCGGCGUGCCUAAUACAUGCAAGUCGAGCGAACAGACGAGGAGCUUGCUCCUCUGACGUUAGCGGCGGACGGGUGAGUAACACGUGGAUAACCUACCUAUAAGACUGGGAUAACUUCGGGAAACCGGAGCUAAUACCGGAUAAUAUAUUGAACCGCAUGGUUCAAUAGUGAAAGACGGUUUUGCUGUCACUUAUAGAUGGAUCCGCGCCGCAUUAGCUAGUUGGUAAGGUACCGGCUUACCAAGGCAACGAUGCGUAGCCGACCUGAGAGGGUGAUCGGCCACACUGGAACUGAGACACGGUCCAGACUCCUACGGGAGGCAGCAGUAGGGAAUCUUCCGCAAUGGGCGAAAGCCUGACGGAGCAACGCCGCGUGAGUGAUGAAGGUCUUCGGAUCGUAAAACUCUGUUAUUAGGGAAGAACAGAUGUGUAAGUAACUAUGCACGUCUUGACGGUACCUAAUCAGAAAGCCACGGCUAACUACGUG